rnacentral:rRNA from 1 species
UACGAAGGGGGCUAGCGUUGUUCGGAAUUACUGGGCGUAAAGGGCUCGUAGGCGGCCAACUAAGUCAUACGUGAAAUCCCUCGGCUUAACCGGGGAACUGCGUCUGAUACUGGAUGGCUUGAGUUCGGGAGAGGGAUGCGGAAUUCCAGGUGUAGCGGUGAAAUGCGUAGAUAUCUGGAGGAACACCGGUGGCGAAGGCGACAUCCUGGACCGGUAUUGACGCUGAGGCGCGAAAGCCAGGGGAGCAAACGGG